UGUUGUUUGUUGAAUUUGAACAGAUCUAACACUAUUCUUUUUUCUAAACUUUUUUGUGAUUAUGUCUUAUGUGGAUACCAUACUCUUUUUUGUAUUAUUGUUGUCCAGUCACUGGAAUAACGCUUUUCUAAGUAUUUAAGGUACAACCAUGUAGAUCUAGACAUGAUGCUGAUGGGUUGGCUUUGCAUACAAUGCAGUAUGGACCAACAAAAUGGUCUCAUUGCAAGGUGGACAUAUAGGCAAGAAAUGUCAAGAGAGAGAGAAGCUUGGACUAUUGAGGAGGAAUCUGCACUGAUUAAUGCCCAUCGGGUAUAUGGGAAUAUAUGGG